rnacentral:snoRNA from 14 species
ACCCUCUGAUUCCCUUUCCCAUCUGAUUUGAACACUGGUCUUGGUGGUAGUUAAAGGAGGAAAAGGAACAAUAAAUUUGGCGUCCCAGUGCUUAUAGACUGGUAUCAAUAUGGGCAUUAGGGUAUAUAGAC